ACAUACGACCACACCCACUAGAGAGCUCGGGAUCCCGUCCGCUCUCCUAUAGAUGAGCCAGUGAUAGCUAGAUUAGUCGUUAUGUCAGUAACAACCAGCAAAUACCUAGUGUUAUAUGUU
rnacentral:rRNA from 1 species